ACCUGUCUUCAUGUCUGGAAUAAUACGCCGAAAGGGGUACUAAUACCGGAUAUUCUUGCUUUUUCAUAAGUUAUGCAAGCAAAGGUGGCCUCUGCAUAUGCUACUGCAUGAAGAGGGGUCUGCGUACCAUUAGCUAGUAGGUGGGGUAAUGGCCUACCUAGGCGACGAUGGUUAGCGGGUCUGAGAGGAUGAUCCGCCACACUGGCACUGGAACACGGGCCAGACUCCUACGGGAGGCAGCAGUGAGGAAUAUUGCGCAAUGGGGGAAACCCCGACGCAGCGACGCCGCGUGAGUGAAGGAAGGCCUUCGGGUCGUAAAGCUCUGUCAAGAGGAAAGAAGUGUACAAUGGCUAAUACCUGUUGUAUUUGACGGUACCUCUAAAGGAAGCACCGGCUAACUCCGUGCCAGCCGCUGC
rnacentral:rRNA from 1 species